ensembl:lncRNA
AGUACUAUUCUGAUAUAUGGAUGACGUGUGCAUGACACACACAUCUCUUGUAGGUCCACCAGCAGAAAUUCCAGUCUCAGCAUGGACCGGGCCAAUUUCAGCCUACUGUACCCAUGAGGGACUUUGCUGACAGUUCAGCACCUGGAUCUCAGAUGCACUCGACCCAUACGGCCAGCCUGGUCGUGCCUACCCCGCUCCGACUGGGAGGGUGGAUGGAAGAGGAGGAGGAGGAGGAAGAGGAGAUCAACAACAGCUCCUUGCUGGACCAGAGUCAGACCAGCAGAGGGAACAGCUGAAGUGCCUUACAGUUCUCGGUCUUUGCAUUCAGUUUGUGGAAGAAUGUGGAAGAACCUUAGUUUAGUUUGAGGCUUUUUGAUCAAACCCACAGUGCUGCGGAAGUGGCUCUGGCUCCUGGGUCAGAACGCUAACCGCACCACAUCUUCCAGCCGUGAGGAACAGUGCCGUUCCAGGCCACACAGUAUGUCCCCCACCUCACCUCUUUUCUUCAUUUAAUCACAGGUCCUCCAAAUGAAAACUGUCAUUUGAUUUGUGUGGGUGAGAGGUGUUUUGAGCCCUUAGCUGUGUUUGCAUUAAAAUAAAUGAACUUUAGUGAUGCUAGAAAUGUCAGAUUGAUGGUGAAUGUCAAAUCAGACAUGCGUGUAGUGCAUCACCGUUUGGUUUUAAAUCACUGAACAAAGCAGUAGUAUUUUGCUUGUAUUACUUUUUCAUUGCUUGUGAUGCCCUGACAGUAAAUAUCUUGUUUUGUGAAAAUAAUUCUCCUCAAUGUAAAACAAAAAAGAAAAGAAAGAAAACUGAAAAAUCCUACCCGAUAGCACCUGAUAUGUUUAUCAGUACUUGUAAUGGAAUUGCUGCUUGUGCUUCUUAAAUUUGUAUCCGUUUGCAUCUGUGAUAUCACGAGGGCAUUUAUGUCCUUUAGCCAGGUAGCUGACAAUGAUUGAGAUGUACAGCAACAUUGAACAUUAUCAAAACAUUAAUUUCAUGAAUUAUAAGAUUUCAAGUCUUAUUGUUUCAAGCAUCAGAGAAAAUGUAAUUGUCCAAAAUACUUAAUACUACAAUUUUUUUCUGUACAGAGGUACUGAAAUUUACAAGCUCAAAAUGUAUGAUUUAUCUUUUGGUUUUUCUUGAACCAACGCAAGCUCUGUUUUUUUUUGUUACUGUCAAAGUUUAGUACAUUGCGAAACUAGCAUAUUUCCUCUGGGAUACGUAAAACAUUCAACAAUUAUUAUAACAGAAAUAGCAUAAAUAAUCAGGACAGCAAAAAAAAUAAGAGUAAGUAAUUUAACCACUAGUGAAACAUAUUUGCCACCAGUAGGGGUCCUCAUAAAGGGGAAGUGACAGUGUUAAGUGACUACUAUGUGAUAUAUGUGUCUUUGGACAGUAGAUCCAAUGUACUGUUAAACUAGGAAUAACUUAUGAAACAACUUGAAAGUUGAACAAAAUCUAUUGACUUUUAUUGGUCAUUUCUCAUUUGCUAAGUGUCCCAAUGGUGCUCAUACAACAUGCAGUUGGUCCUAACUUGUAGAAAUUCUAAUGCCCCUCCUCCCACCCUACAAACAUUUUCUGCAUGUUUCAGUGUUUAAAGAUAUGCCUUUUUUUGUGAAGUGUGCCUCUGAAGAAUGACAUAGCAUAAUAAUGACCUCCUGUGGCCUACUACAGGGACCAGAACAGACCAUGGUUGCUUUUAAAAAGACAAAUGGUCGUGCUGUUAUUCCAGCCUUACACUAAGACACAAGAAGACAAAAUGGUUAUAGCACUCUGUGAAACCUAUAGAAAAUAUGUUUUUAAGAAGAAAAAAAUUACAUUUUCAUUUGACAGCUAAUUAGCUAACUGAUUAAUUAGGUAAGCCCUAGGUUUUAAUCAAGCUUAAGAGCCAUUGUCAAUUUGAUAAGUAAUAUUAAUAGAUUUAAUUAAUUUGCUCUCUCCUUGUCAUCAGAUAAAUAUGACUCUAUUACAUAUCAUGGAUGGGGCUUUAUGAUGCCAGAAGGAUAUGCCAUUUUCCAUAAACUCUUUUGAUGUAGUAUUCUCUCAGAGUUCAUAAUGCUUUGCUGCCCCCCUGUGACAAGCAACAAGCACCAGGCUCAUUGGCCUUCUCUGCACACCUGUGGUCAGUAGGAGCUGGAGCAUUUGCCAUGGCUAUAUAGAAAGCUCAUGCAAGCCCUGCUGAUGGUUUCUGGACAUGGUUGAUGGCUCUCUUUUUAUUGCGUCAGUGGAAACACAUUGAUAUUUUACACAGGCUGAAAUACCUCCAGAUGUGUUUGAAAAUUCAACAAGUUGUACAAUGUACAGUAUUUAUUUUGGUGGGUAUGCAUUGUUACAUCUUAACUACAGAUGUAAGUUAGAGGGUAUGAUCCAUCAGAUUAAAAAUAUUUACUGUUGGCCUCUUAAAACUGUUCUAGGUUUAAUUUUGGUUUGUGUCAGCCAUGAGCAGGAAAGCUGGUAAUCUCCACCAAGUUGCAGAAUGAUAAUGGACUCUGAGAGAAAAAGGAACUGGUUUGUUUUAUCUCCGUUAUUCUUGUCCACUAUAAGCAGUCUGAAAAAUGACUAUGCAAGGUGCUAUAUAUUUUGUUUGUUUGGUAUUAAUAUUUAUCUUAUUUUUUAUUUUUCUGAUUGUUUUGUCUGAUUGAAGCAACUCUAUUUAAAAAUAAACCAUACAAAAAAAAUAUUUUUUUUUUGUGAUAUUCUG